CUUCUAGAAAUGUUUUUCUGUGACCUGGGGCCAAUAGGCAGAGGUCCUGGAUGUGUUCUUAUCUCUGCACAUUCUACUGUUACUCCCUUGGAGAUGUCUCUGACAUUUUAAGUUUCUGACAUGGGCCUGAAGUGAAUAUUCCUGUUUCUUGAAAGUGAGGGAGGCCAUGAAAAUAUGUCCCCUGGAUGUAAAGCAAAGGAGUUGGUUCUUCUGAUCUUGGGGAUAUUCUUUGCCUUUUCUGAACAGCAGUUUUUCCUCUGUUAAUGUGGGUGUGGGGGAGGAGGGUUGGGCCCAAAUGGGUCUCUAAGGCCCCUUCCAGCUCUUCUGUGUUACCUAGAGAAAAGACCCCAUAGCUGACCCCAAGGGCAGAAAGUCCCCUCACAGAUCAGAGCUCACUUGCAGUAAUGUGAUCACUGGAUUGGAGCCAUGUUUUAGCAUUGAGGGCCUUGCUAAGCUUCAGAGUAUCCAGAGGAAGUCAGCCAUCAGAGGCAGGACCUUGGGCCUCUAGCCUCAUAGAUGAAGGAGCAGGAUGUUUUUACUUUGGAGAAGACCUGUGGAGACACAGCUACUUCAGAUUUGAGAGCUUAGGACCCAGAAAAGGAAUGUCUUUUCUCCUUGUGUCCUGAGGGCAGAUCUGGAAGCAAUAGAGGGUGGUGAGAGGGGAACACUAAAACUUGAUGUCAGGACAAAGUUGUUUUCAGGGGGAAGAUUCUUUGUCUGAGAAGACUUAUUCCUUGACUCUUCCCUUCAGGAACACAAGAAAAAUGGCUGAUAUAAUAUAUAAAAUAAAUUGGUUCUGGCAGAACAAGAAAAUAGAACAGCAUAAACGGAUCCUUCUGCAGAACUUUCAGGGCAGUAAAGGAAGAUCAGGGUUUAGGAGAUGUAUCAACACUGGCAAUGACAAGCAAUGAUCCCACCCAUCCGUUUGUAUGUACAGAGCAAAGAGAACUCCACUCCCAAGAGCGCACUUCAAGUCCUGCCCAGCCAUGGAAAACACACAUUCCCUUCAUAGAGCAUCUCUAUAAGUUUGUAAACUGGAUUUCUAUCCUUGUUGGAACCUUGGUGGAGAGCAGCAAGCCAUUCUCCAAGUCAGGGAUUGCUGGGUUCAAAGCCUGCUUUUGAACCCUAUUGUCUCUGGAUCACUGAGGAUUGGAUCUAGGCCCUGGGAUGCUCCCCUCAGAAUCAUUGUGAGGUGUCCAAAGUGCUAACCAUUUGUCUUCUCCAGCCAGUGGAAGAAGAUGGUGACCUCAGCCUUCUGUACCCCAAGGGGAUGCAUGGAGCCCCGAGUCCAUUUGAGUCCUGCUGAGUAGGAACCUCCCCUGAUACCCAGAUUAUAAAGGACAUCAAAUAGAGACCCUGCUAUCUACAACAGUAUGAACAAUUGUUUAUGCAAGGCUGCUUUCAGAGAACCGGGGUGCUGUAUCAGAAAGGACGCUUUUAUUGAAAAAUUUGUUCUGGUCUAGCCAGGAAGCCAAUGAAAAAAGGCAAUGUGACUCCGUUCCCUGCGUAUUUUAUAA